GUUAUGUCAUAUGCUUUGUGAUCAACCAUCUUGCUUUGCCAGAGACUGAGGCAUGCCCCGGGAUGUGGGCUUUCAGUGCUAAAACCAAGAGAGACCGUGGCAAACCAGGACCAUUGAUGACAUUAGCCCAGAUCAUGAUUGGGGGCCAGCUCCGUGGCCGAGUGGUUAAGUUCACGCGCUCUGCUGCGGGGGCCCAGGGUUUGGAUCCUGGGCGCGGACAUGGCACCGCUCGUCAGGCCACGUUGAAGUGGCAUCCCACAUCCCACAACUGGAAGGACAUGCAACUAAGAAGUACAACUGGGUACAGGGGGGUUUGGGGAGAUAAAGCAGAAAAAAAAAAAGAUCAUGAUUACUUGACAAAUAAGUCACUCUCCUGCCAAACUGGUGUUUAA
rnacentral:lncRNA from 1 species